AUUGUAAUUUUAUUUUAUUUUAUUUUUUGUUCCUUUCAGGUGCAGAAGAUGGGUACAAACCAAUGGAAUUCCCUGCAGAAACUUUCCCCUAUCCCAGCUCUUCCUGUCAGGCCAACAUAUUUAUGGCUGCCACCAUCUAAAAUCGUUGAGAUAAAAGGAAGUAUGUAGCAUAGAACCAGGAACUGUCUCAGGUAGGUUGGCAUGAAAAGGGUGAAAGAAUCUUCUACAGUUUUGGAGCAAUUUGGAUUAAUAUUGUACAGAGAUAUUGCAAUAAAGAACCUUAACACUUA
rnacentral:lncRNA from 1 species